rnacentral:piRNA from 1 species
UGUGUCCACCGAGUUUCAUCAAUUAUGUGCU